rnacentral:rRNA from 1 species
GACGAACGCUGGCGGCGUGGAUUAGGCAUGCAAGUCGAACGGUAGGAUACCUUCGGGUAUCUGAGAGUGGCGAACGGGUGAGUAACACGUAGGUGAUCUACCCUCAAGAUUGGGACAACCCAGGGAAACUUGGGCUAAUACCGGAUGAAAGCAGCAGUGAUGUUGUUUGAAAGGUGGCGUAAGCUGCCGUUUGGGGAUGAGCCUGCGCUCUAUUAGUUAGUUGGCGGGGUAAAGGCCCACCAAGGCGAUGAUAGAUAGGCGGCCUUAACGGGUGGUCGCCCACACUGGGAUUGAGAUACGGCCCAGACUCCUACGGGAGGCAGCAGUCGAGAAUAGUCUACAAUGGCCGAAAGGCUGAUAGUGCGACGCCGCGUGAACGAAGAAGCCCUUGGGUGUAAAGUUCUUUUCUAUACGAGCAGUGCUAUAUAUAUGGAUAGUAUAUAUAGAGGGAUAGUAGUAUAGGAAUAAGCAACGGCUAACUCCGUGCCAGCAGCCGCGGUAAA